GAAGUGAUCCCCUGGUUGGCUCGGCUGCUCGAGUUAGAGCGUCGGGUGAGGAAGGGAUAGCAAGCACUAAGCAAGUGCUGGAGUCCUAUGUUUUGACUGAGCAUGAUCCUGCGUGGGUCGGCAAGUGUUUCUGAAGAGCCUAAAGAUUAGACUGUAAGGAAAGAAAAUAGAAGCCAUGUUUCGAAGACCUGUAUUACAGGUACUUCGUCAGUUUGUAAGACAUGAGUCCGAAACAACUACCAGUUUGGUUCUUGAAAGAUCCAUGAAUCCUGUGCAGUUACUUGGGCGAGUGGGUCAGGACCCUGUCUUGAGACUAGUGGAAGGAAAAAUUCCAGUCACAAUAUUUUCUCUAGCAACUAAUGAGAUGUGGCGAUCAGGGGACAGUGAAGUUUACCAAAUGGGUGAUGUCAGUCAAAAGACAACAUGGCACAGAAUAUCGGUAUUCCGGCCAGGCCUCAGAGACGUGGCAUAUCAGUAUGUGAAAAAGGGUUCUCGAAUUUAUUUGGAAGGGAAAAUAGACUAUGGUGAAUACAUGGAUAAAAAUAAUGUGAGGCGACAAGCAACAACUAUCAUAGCUGAUAAUAUUAUAUUUCUGAGUGACCAGACGAAAGAGAAGGAGUAGAAAGGAUGAUUCUUCUUUGGCCAUCAUUGGGUACAGUCUCAUUUCCAAGUCAUGUGUAUAAUCUUUAUCGCUCCCAAGGACAAGAAUUAAAAUACUCUUUUAC